GACGAACGCUGACGGUGUGCUUUAGGCAUGCAAGUCGAACGAGAAAGCCCUUCGGGGUGAGUAAAGUGGCGAACGGGUGAGUAACACGUGGGCAACCUGCCCCUCGCAGGGGAACAACCGGAGGAAACGCCGGCUAAUACCCCGUAAGCUUUCAGGGUCGCAUGGCCUUGAAAGGAAAGGUAGCUUCGGCCAUCCGGCGAGGGAUGGGCCCGCGGUGCAUUAGCUAGUUGGUGGGGUAAAGGCCCACCAAGGCGACGAGCGUAGCUGGUCUGAGAGGAUGAUCAGCCACACUGGGACUGAGACACGGCCCAGACUCCUACGGGAGGCAGCAGCCAGGAAUCUUGGGCAAUGGGCAAAGCCUGACCCAGCAACACCGUGUGGGCGAU
rnacentral:rRNA from 1 species